ensembl:lncRNA
AUGUUAUCCUCCCUCUGCCUUUAUUCAUGCCUGCAUUUGGCUUUUAGGGAACAAACCACAGUGCCAUGAGAUGGGACCAACCCAAAUGAGUUCCAGCUGCAGGAACAGCCCAGCUGUGAGUGGUUAGAGCUGAUCACUGCCUGGCUGGGAUGGCUGCUCACAGAGCCCACACUAAACCUCUGCAGAUCACUGGCUGCGUGUAGCAGAGCCUGGAGACCCUGCAGCCCCUCACCGUGUGCUACUGAGUUGUGGGCUAAUUGAGACAUGACAGCAUGGAGCAGCAAAUGGUGCUUGCAGAACAGCUCCAGGACCGUGUCAGAGCCAGGUGGGGCUGUAAAGCUUCACCACACAACCGUGGCAAUGGCUGCUGCCCUCAUCCCUUCAGUGCAAUACUGCUUCACCAAAGCUGUGGCUUUCAGCAGCAAUGCGGGGCUCCUGGGAGGCAGAUUUCAUUAGAUGUGCACAGAAAAGCUCCUCAGAAGUGGAUCGGAGGUCUACGAGAUGGAAACAGCACUUUCCAUGGAGACUUUUCCAAGUCUGUGGCCCUUUCUGGUGGGAUUGUAGUGGGUCAGCUCUGUGUCACCCCCUGCAGAACACGCAGCGAUGGUGUCAGCGUUGGCUAAACGUGUAUCUGGGCAAUGUUGGCUGCAAAAAUGAAAGACACAAAUGAAGAAAGGUACAGCAAAGGCCAGCGCUCCUUGAGGCUGGUGCUCCCAUCUGUGCUUUGUAAUUCUGAGUUGGGAGAGGAGUGGUAAUCCAACUCUAUUGCUCAUAAACAAUAUCAUUGACUGUAGGGUCUGGAUUUACAAGGGUUUAUGAGACCUGAAAGCCAUAGAUAAGCAUUUAGUAGGAUUUACUGAAAAGCCUUAAAUGAGACUUCCAACAGGAGAUGGGUACCUUCUGCAAGUCUCACUAAAUUUAUACCUACACCUUUAGGGGUGUAAAUACCUUCUGACAGACCCUCCCCUCUUAUCAUAUAAAUCAAAGCAGGGCAGCCUGAAGGAUGGGAGAACCAUUUUCUAAGUGGGGAAUCUGGACCCUAUCAUUAAGGUCACCAUUCUGCAAAUACUUUUAGCAUAAGUGCAUAAGAAAAUUUGUUUUCCUUUACGUGGAGAGUAAACCAUAUGUUGUAAGCAGGUGAAGCUGCAGCAAGGCUACAGCUGGGCAGGAUUUUGAAGCUCCUAUGGCUUGUUGCUAAAGAGGAUACCCUCCUGCAGGUACCCAUGCAAGCAAUUUAUUCUGUCAUCCGAAUGGCAAAAUGUGCUCUGUGUUUUCUGGGGCCUCCACACAGCUGAGAUCCCAGAGCGGAGCACUGGGAGCCCUUGCUCUUCCUCAUCUGAAGAUGCCAAACAUCAGGAGCUGGAUGUGAGCGGGUUCCUGUGUGACCCUCCCCUCCUGAAGGGAAAGAACAACACCAGGCUGACUGUAGUUCUGCUUUUUAAAAAUCCUUCUGAUGUGAAGGGGGAAAAAUGAAAAGAGGGGAGGGUGUAAUCUAGUUGACAUCUAUUGUUCUUUGUGUAACAGCUCAUCUGUAUUCUAUCUGGUCCAGGGUAUUACAAUGAGAAUUCAAAGACGUGUGCACGUGCACACACAUCUCUCUGUGCACACAUAUAUGUGCUCGUAUAAACUGAAAUAUAACGAGGGAAAAAGCCCCUGUAAGUUCGAACCAACAACAGCAAUCCAUAUAUCUUUAUUUGCUGCCAACAUCCAAGCGCUGAACUCUCGAGGAGCCUGGAUCUCUGCCAUCAUCUGUCCGUGUCUGAUCUCUUUG